CACGUAGGGUGCGAGCGUUGUCCGGAAUUAUUGGGCGUAAAGAGCUCGUAGGCGGUGUGUCACGUCGGCCGUGAAAACCUGCAGCUUAACUGUGGGCGUGCGGUCGAUACGGGCAUCACUGGAGUUCGGCAGGGGAGACUGGAAUUCCUGGUGUAGCGGUGAAAUGCGCAGAUAUCAGGAGGAACACCGGUGGCGAAGGCGGGUCUCUGGGACGGUAUUGACGCUGAGACGCGAAAGCGUGGGGAGCAAACAGG
rnacentral:rRNA from 1 species